GGCCCCGUAGCUCAGUGGAUAGAGCACCGGCCUUCUAAGCCGAUGGUCGCAGGUUCGAAUCCUGCCGGGGUCACCA
rnacentral:tRNA from 5 species